CUACGUCGGGCCCGGUUAGUACUUGGAUGGGUGACCGCCUGGGAACGCCGGGUGCUGUUG
rnacentral:rRNA from 1 species